rnacentral:rRNA from 1 species
AGAGUUUGANCCUGNCUCAGGAUGAACGCUGGCGGCGUGCCUAACACAUGCNAGUCGAGCGCGAUCUUCAUGAUAGAGUUUUCGGAUGAAGUCAUGAAUUGAAAGCGGCGGACGGGUGAGUAACGCGUAGGCAACCUGCCCCAUACAGGAAGAUAGCCUCGGGAAACCGGGAUUAAUACUCCAUGAAGCUCUAGUGACACAUGUCACAUGAGUCAAAGUGUUUAGCGGUAUGGGAUGGGCCUGCGUCUGAUUAGCUAGUUGGUGAGGUAACGGCUUACCAAGGCAACGAUCAGUAGCCGACCUGAGAGGGUGAUCGGCCACACUGGAACUGAGACACGGUCCAGGCUCCUACGGGAGGCAGCAGUGGGGAAUAUUGCACAAUGGGGGAAACCCUGAUGCAGCAACGCCGCGUGAGUGAUGAAGGUUUUCGGAUCGUAAAGCUCUGUCCUAAGGGAAGAUAAUGACGGUACCUUAGGAGGAAGCCCCGGCUAACUACGUGCCAGCAGCCGCGGUAAUACGUAGGGGGCAAGCGUUAUCCGGAAUUAUUGGGCGUAAAGGGUGCGUAGGUGGUUACGUAAGCCCAUGGUGAAAGGCUACAGCUCAACUGUAGUAAGCCGUGGGAACUGUGUAACUUGAGUGCAGGAGAGGAAAGUGGAAUUCCUAGUGUAGCGGUGGAAUGCGUAGAUAUUAGGAGGAACACCAGUGGCGAAGGCGACUUUCUGGACUGUAACUGACACUGAGGCACGAAAGCGUGGGGAGCAAACAGGAUUAGAUACCCUGGUAGUCCACGCCGUAAACGAUGAGCACUAGGUGUCGGGGUCAUAGACUUCGGUGCCGCAGCUAACGCAUUAAGUGCUCCGCCUGGGGAGUACGGUCGCAAGACUGAAACUCAAAGGAAUUGACGGGGACCCGCACAAGCAGCGGAGCAUGUGGUUUAAUUCGAAGCAACGCGAAGAACCUUACCAAAACUUGACAUCCUUCUGACCGUUCCGUAAUGGGAACUUUCCUUCGGGACAGAAGUGACAGGUGGUGCAUGGUUGUCGUCAGCUCGUGUCGUGAGAUGUUGGGUUGAGUCCCGCAACGAGCGCAACCCCUAUCUUUAGUUGCCAGCAUUUCGGAUGGGCACUCUAGAGAGACUGCCGGGGAUAACUCGGAGGAAGGUGGGGAUGACGUCAAAUCAUCAUGCCCCUUAUGUUUUGGGCUACACACGUGCUACAAUGGCUGGUACAGAGGGCAGCGAUAGAGUGAUCUGGAGCAAAUCCUAAAAGCCAGUCCCAGUUCGGAUUGUAGGCUGCAACUCGCCUACAUGAAGCUGGAGUUGCUAGUAAUCGUGAAUCAGAAUGUCACGGUGAAUGCGUUCCCGGGUCUUGUACACACCGCCCGUCACACCAUGGAAGUUGGGGGCACCCGAAGUCAGUCGAUAAAGGCUGCCGAAGGUGAAAUCUANAAGGAGGGUGAAGUCGUAACAAGGUAACC